UACAGAGGGGGCAAGCGUUGUUCGGAAUUACUGGGCGUAAAGGGCGCGUAGGCGGCCUUCUAAGUCGAACGUGAAAUCCCCGGGCUCAACCCGGGAACUGCGUCCGAUACUGGAAGGCUUGAAUCCGGGAGAGGGAUGCGGAAUUCCAGGUGUAGCGGUGAAAUGCGUAGAUAUCUGGAGGAAUACCGGUGGCGAAGGCGGCGACCUGGGUCGAGACUGACGCUGAGGCGCGAAAGCGUGGGGAGCAAACAGG
rnacentral:rRNA from 1 species